AUGCUCUGUUUUUUAGUCAACAUACGAGUUAAUCUUUAGCCUUUAACUAAAGAUUACCGUGAAGAGGAACUCUUUAAGUUAUCGGUAUUAUCUUCUGCGGCAUACUUUUAUGCUU